rnacentral:rRNA from 1 species
AUUGAACGCUGGCGGCAGGCUUAACACAUGCAAGUCGAGCGGGGGAAGGUAGCUUGCUACUGGACCUAGCGGCGGACGGGUGAGUAAUGCUUAGGAAUCUGCCUAUUAGUGGGGGACAACAUCUCGAAAGGGAUGCUAAUACCGCAUACGUCCUACGGGAGAAAGCAGGGGAUCUUCGGACCUUGCGCUAAUAGAUGAGCCUAAGUCGGAUUAGCUAGUUGGUGGGGUAAAGGCCUACCGAGGCGACGAUCUGUAGCGGGUCUGAGAGGAUGAACCGCCACACUGGGACUGAGACACGGCCCAGACUCCUACGGGAGGCAGCAGUGGGGAAUAUUGGACAAUGGGGGGAACCCUGAUCCAGCCAUGCCGCGUGUGUGAAGAAGGCCUUAUGGUUGUAAAGCACUUUAAGCGAGGAGGAGGCUACUUUAGUUAAUACCUAGAGAUAGUGGACGUUACUCGCAGAAUAAGCACCGGCUAACUCUGUGCCAGCCGCCGCCGUAA